UACGGGGGGGGUAAGCGUUGUUCGGAAUUACUGGGCGUAAAGGGCUCGUAGGCGGCCAACUAAGUCAGACGUGAAAUCCCUCGGCUUAACCGGGGAACUGCGUCUGAUACUGGAUGGCUUGAGAUUGGGAGAGGGAUGCGGAAUUCCAGGUGUAGCGGUGAAAUGCGUAGAUAUCUGGAGGAACACCGGUGGCGAAGGCGGCAUCCUGGACCAACACUGACGCUGAGGAGCGAAAGCCAGGGGAGCAAACGGG
rnacentral:rRNA from 1 species